rnacentral:rRNA from 1 species
GUCCUGGCAGUAAACGGUGCACGUUUGGUGUGGGAGGAUUCGACCCCUUCCGUGCCGGAGCUAACGCGUUAAACGUGCCGCCUGGGAAGUACGGUCGCAAGAUUAAAACUCAAAGAAAUUGACGGGGGCCCGCACAAGCGGUGGAGUAUGUGGCUUAAUUCGAUGCAACGCGAAGAACCUUACCAGGGUUUGACAUGCAUCUCUAAGGCGGUUAAAGCCGUCGAGUGUAGCAAUACACAAUUUGCACAGGUGCUGCAUGGCUGUCGU